rnacentral:rRNA from 1 species
ACUUUACAAUGCGCGAAAGCGUGAUAGGGGGAUUCUGAGUGGCAUUGGCUUUGCCAAUGUCUUUUGCCAAGUGUAAAUAACUUGGAGAAUAAGGGUGUGGGAAAGACUGGUGGCAGCCGCCGCGGUAAUACCAGCGCCUCGAGUGGUACCCACGAAUACUGGGCCUAAAGCGUCCGUAGCCGGUCUGUUAAGUCUACUGUGAAAUCUUAGGGCUCAACUCUAAGGCGUGCAGUAGAUACUGUCAGACUAGAGAGCGGGGGAGGUUAGGAGUACACCUGGGGUAGGGGUAAAAUCCGUUGAGCCUAGGUGGACUAUCAGUGGCGAAGGCGCCUAACCAAAACGCAUCUGACGGUGAGGGACGAAGGCUAGGGGAGCAAACGGGAUUAGAGACCCCGGUAGUCCUAGCAGUAAAUGAUGCAGACUCUGGUGUUUCUCUAACGUAAGUUAGGGAAGUGCUGUAGCGUAGAAUCUUUGAUUUAUUGCUUAAAUCAGAGGUAUGUAAGUGUUAAGUCUGCCGCCUGGGGAGUACGAUCGCAAGAUUGAAACUUAAAGGAAUUGGCGGGGGGGAGCACA